GACGAACCGAGCGAACGUUGUUCGGGAUCACUGGGCUUAAAGGGUGCGUAGGCGGGCUGCCAAGUUUGAGGUGAAAUCCUCCGGCUCAACCGGGGAAGUGCCUUGAAUACUGGCGGUCUGGAGGGAGGUAGGGGCGUGCGGAACUAACGGUGGAGCGGUGAAAUGCGUUGAUAUCGUUAGGAACUCCGGUGGCGAAGGCGGCACGCUAGACCUCUUCUGACGCUGAGGCACGAAAGCCAGGGGAGCGAACGGG
rnacentral:rRNA from 1 species